rnacentral:misc_RNA from 1 species
GGAAGGAUCAUUAACAUGCCUCCAAAAACACAAUUUUUACACGCUCGCUCAAUCUAUUCGAUGAUUCACCGUAACAAGGAACAUCGUUAGAUAAUAAGACCGUAAACGGUAGAUGACUUGGCUUAUACACCGAUGAAGAGCGCAGCAAAGUGCGAUAAAUAGUGUGAAUUGCAGAAUUCUGUGAACCACUAAAUUCUUGAACGCAUCCGGCACCCGGGAUCAAACCCGGGUACACUCAGUUGAGUGUGGCACUUCCAAUUCUCUCCAAUCCAUCCGAGCAAGCUUGGCAACCUUGUCUUGGAAAAAAAGGAUAGAGAGGUUUCGGAGGCAAAGAGCUUUUAGCUUUUUCCUCUCAGAUAUCCACCCUCCUCCUCGGAGGACCGUUCCUAUACAAGGGAUCGGCACGUUUGAUUUUGGUGUGUGACUAAGGGAUCCACCAAGAGAGUGCUCUUUUCCUUUGGGAUGGAUCAAUGGGUGAAAGAAACAAACGAGAGGGACAACCACUCGGUUCCUCAUCGAAAAACACUGCCACCUCGACUUGAGUGGGAGUACCCCCUGAACUUAAGCAUAUCAAUAAGGGGAGGAAAAGAAACUAAUCAGGAUUCCCUUAGUAACUGCGAGUGAAACGGGAUCAGCUCAUACCCAAAUCUAGCGUGGCUAUGCUGCGUUCGAAUUGUAGUGUUUGGAGUGGUGCACGGCAUGAGUCGUGGAGGGAAGUGUGUUGGAAAGCACCGCCACAGAGGGUGAUAGGCCCGUACCUCCAUUGGCAUCGUGUUCACUGUGCUGCUUCCAGAGUCGGUAUGUUUGAGAGUACAUACCAAAGCGGGAGGUAAACUCCUUCCAAAGCUAAAUACGGGUAUAAGACCGAUAGCGAACAAGUAGCGUGAGCGAAAGUUGCAAAGAACUCUGGAGAGAGAGUUAAAAAGUCCCUGAAACCGUUUACGGGGAAGCGUUUGGCCCGACCCACUGUUGCUGGUGGCUCACUUGUCGAUGGGUUGUCUUCGUCUUGCAUACGAGCUAGACUUUGUCUGGUCUUAUCAGGGCAAGGUGGUUCAUUGGCAGGUUACUCCAUCGGUGGCAAUCAUCGACGGUGCCGACUUCAGUAAACUGGUGGUGAUUUGGUGCCUCCCAGGUCCUAGAUCUGGUGUGGUUUCAGUCGCUGCAUAUGCUGUCGUUGGUACUGGAUUCAUUAGUCAGUGCAGUGCGAUAUGGGUUUGUCCCGAGCAUUUCUGGUUGGGUGUACAGCUUGCUGUCCGCUCGGUUAGGGGUGUUCUACGGGCAGGUUCAUUAACUACUGGCUCAUCGAUGGUAUGGGUUGGACUAAAUGUCCCGUCUUGAAACACGGACCAAGGAGUCUAACAUGUGUGCAAGCCUAAGAGCUGCAAACUCGAAGGCGAAAUGAAAGUGACUCUGGAUGGGAAGGCGGUUUUACUGUCCCGCACCAUCGACCCAUCGUCCUCUCCGGAGGGUGUUGGCGUCAGAGUACACCUGUUAGGACCCGAAAGGUUGCGAACUAUGCCUGCAUAGGACGAAGCCAGGUGAAAACCUGGUGGAGGUCCGAAGCGAUACUGACGUGCAAAUCGUUCGUCAAAUGUGGGUAUAGCGGCGAAAGACUAAUCGAGCAGCCUAGUAGCUGGUUCCCUC